GAUGAACGCUGGCGGCGUGCCUAAUACAUGCAAGUCGAGCGAACGGACGAGAAGCUUGCUUCUCUGAUGUUAGCGGCGGACGGGUGAGUAACACGUGGAUAACCUACCUAUAAGACUGGGAUAACUUCGGGAAACCGGAGCUAAUACCGGAUAAUAUUUUGAACCGCAUGGUUCAAAAGUGAAAGACGGUCUUGCUGUCACUUAUAGAUGGAUCCGCGCUGCAUUAGCUAGUUGGUAAGGUAACGGCUUACCAAGGCAACGAUGCAUAGCCGACCUGAGAGGGUGAUCGGCCACACUGGAACUGAGACACGGUCCAGACUCCUACGGGAGGCAGCAGUAGGGAAUCUUCCGCAAUGGGCGAAAGCCUGACGGAGCAACGCCGCGUGAGUGAUGAAGGUCUUCGGAUCGUAAAACUCUGUUAUUAGGGAAGAACAUAUGUGUAAGUAACUGUGCACAUCUUGACGGUACCUAAUCAGAAAGCCACGGCUAACUACGUGCCAGCAGCCGCGGUAAUACGUAGGUGGCAAGCGUUAUCCGGAAUUAUUGGGCGUAAAGCGCGCGUAGGCGGUUUUUUAAGUCUGAUGUGAAAGCCCACGGCUCAACCGUGGAGGGUCAUUGGAAACUGGAAAACUUGAGUGCAGAAGAGGAAAGUGGAAUUCCAUGUGUAGCGGUGAAAUGCGCAGAGAUAUGGAGGAACACCAGUGGCGAAGGCGACUUUCUGGUCUGUAACUGACGCUGAUGUGCGAAAGCGUGGGGAUCAAACAGGAUUAGAUACCCUGGUAGUCCACGCCGUAAACGAUGAGUGCUAAGUGUUAGGGGGUUUCCGCCCCUUAGUGCUGCAGCUAACGCAUUAAGCACUCCGCCUGGGGAGUACGACCGCAAGGUUGAAACUCAAAGGAAUUGACGGGGACCCGCACAAGCGGUGGAGCAUGUGGUUUAAUUCGAAGCAGCGCGAAGAACCUUACCAAAUCUUGACAUCCUUUGACAACUCUAGAGAUAGAGCUUUCCCCUUCGGGGGGCAAAGUGACAGGUGGUGCAUGGUUGUCGUCAGCUCGUGUCGUGAGAUGUUGGGUUAAGUCCCGCAACGAGCGCAACCCUUAAGCUUAGUUGCCAUCAUUAAGUUGGGCACUCUAAGUUGACUGCCGGUGACAAACCGGAGGAAGGUGGGGAUGACGUCAAAUCAUCAUGCCCCUUAUGAUUUGGGCUACACACGUGCUACAAUGGACAAUACAAAGGGCAGCGAAACCGUGAGGUCAAGCAAAUCCCAUAAAGUUGUUCUCAGUUCGGAUUGUAGUCUGCAACUCGACUACAUGAAGCUGGAAUCGCUAGUAAUCGUAGAUCAGCAUGCUACGGUGAAUACGUUCCCGGGUCU
rnacentral:rRNA from 1 species